CCAGACUCCUACGGGAGGCAGCAGUAGGGAAUCUUCGGCAAUGGACGGAAGUCUGACCGAGCAACGCCGCGUGAGUGAAGAAGGUUUUCGGAUCGUAAAGCUCUGUUGUAAGAGAAGAACGAGUGUGAGAGUGGAAAGUUCACACUGUGACGGUAUCUUACCAGAAAGGGACGGCUAACUACGUGCCAGCAGCCGCGGUAAUACGUAGGUCCCGAGCGUUGUCCGGAUUUAUUGGGCGUAAAGCGAGCGCAGGCGGUUAGAUAAGUCUGAAGUUAAAGGCUGUGGCUUAACCAUAGUACGCUUUGGAAACUGUUUAACUUGUGUGCAGAAGGGGAGAGUGGAAUUCCAUGUGUAGCGGUGAAAUGCGUAGAUAUAUGGAGGAACACCGGUGGCGAAAGCGGCUCUCUGGUCUGUAACUGACGCUGAGGCUCGAAAGCGUGGGGAGCAAAUAGGAUUAGAUACCCUGGUAGUCCACGCCGUAAACGAUGAGUGCUAGGUGUUGGGUCCUUUCCGGGACUCAGUGCCGUAGCUAACGCAUUAAGCACUCCGCCUGGGGAGUACGACCGCAAGGUUGAAACUCAAAGGAAUUGACGGGGGCCCGCACAAG
rnacentral:rRNA from 1 species